CAGCAGCCGCGGGAAAACCAGCAGCCCAAGUGGUGGUCGCGCUUAUUGGGCCUAAAGCGCUCGUAGCCUGGCCGGUAAGUUCCCCGUGAAAUCGGGUCGCCCAACGAUUCGGCUUGCGGGGAAUACUGUCGGUCUUGGGGCCGGGAGACGCCGAGGGUACUCCGGGGGUAGCGGUGAAAUGCUGUAAUCCUCGGGGGACUACCAGUGGCGAAGGCGCUCGGCGAUAACGGGCCUGACGGUGAGGGGCGAAAGCUGGGGGCGCGAACGGGAUUAGAUACCCGAGUAGUCCCUGUCUCUUAUA
rnacentral:rRNA from 1 species